UGAACAUUUUGAAGGAGGAGAGGAACAAAUCAAUCUCACCCUGUCCAAUUCUUCCACUGAAUACGGGCAUUCAGUGCGUAGUUGCACCUCAGUUCCUACCUCGGCAAACUGAAAACCACAUGGAUAAUUAAACUUCUCUGGGCCUCUACUCCUCACCAGGCAGUUUAUCACCUUGAUCUGUAUGGAAAAUGACAUUAUGAUGGAGGAGUCUUGAGAGAAACAAGGACAUAAAAAUUGGCAUGUGCUUAGGAAGACACACUUUAGAGGAGAUCUGUAGAUUUUGGGAAUCCAGGAAGUGAAGCACCAUAUCAGAGACAUCUGAUGAAGAAGGAAUAGGCAGACAUCAGCACAGCAUCAGAUGUCUAACAAAGGAACAAUGGAACCUGGAGCAGGUGGAAUUCAGGAAUGGGGAAUUCCUUUCAAGGUAGCAUUUGGAACUCUAGCUUGGAAAUCCAGUCAAGAAAAUGCAUGCAUGGUCUAAAAAGCACAUGCACUGGGCUGAAGAGUAACAGGCAGCUCCAGGUUUUCCUGGUAAGUCACUGCACUUUAGAAAGCAGAGAAUGACCAGGAGACUGAGCUCCACCAAACCAAGGUAAGGCAGGGUAUACAGAAAAGCCACGUCUCUGGUCCACCCAAGGUGGGCACCAAGGACAGCAGAGGGGCUGAGGACUGUUAGGGGGAAACUAUGUCCAAAAUAUCAAUCUUCCAUUCAAAUAAUUAAUUAAUUUGGUGGCAAAUUUUGGAGACAGCCACAAAUUUUUUCCAGGAGAACAUUUCUGAUAAAAGACUGAAUGCUUCCUAGAAAAGCAAUAAAUUUUCCCCCAAAAGCUGGACAAGGAGAGGGCAUGGAGCCGAGACCAUGCUCUGAGCUCCUCCUGAGUACCAGGAACACUAUGAACCCGAGGACCUCUUAGCUCACAGGGCUGCUGGUCAGAGAAUGAGGACGCCAACUUAUCUAAAAAUGGUGGAAGGCACUAGUGCAAAGACAUGUUCCCAUGUCCCCAUUGUAGAGAGGAACAAGGAAGCGGGCACGCAGAGGUCAGAUGGCAGCAGCAGGGGUCAGGCAUUUAACAUUUGCUGCAUGACAGAAGGAUCAGCCUCCAUGUCUGUCUCCCUUUUGUCAGCUCUGUGCAGCUUUGGCCCUCAUCCAAGCUUUUUGGUCAUCCUAGAGGGACAGCCUGGAGGAACAAAGGGCCAAAGGUGUGCGUGGGGCUGGGAGAGGACAUGCCAGAGGCCUCUGCUCCCCUCUCCUUUCUCUCCCUGCCCCCCUCUGCCUGGCGCCUCUCUUCCAGUGCCAGCUCCCUCCUGUGCCAGCACCACAGUGACAAUAUGAGACAUCGCAUCUAAAGAAGCACAGCCAAAUAUUUGAUUUGGACGAUUACACUGAAGAAGCCUCAUCACAACUGUGGGUGCCCAGAUUACCAACUCCCUGCUCUUGGCUCUGGUACACCUCGCAAUUCAGAAAUGCCUGGCGAUGAGAAAGCAAUUGCUUUUUGUGGGAGAUCACAGAACAAGCCCAGUGAAUCUGACUCUCUUCUCUGGACACAAGUGGAUGACCUCCUCUUCCAUUUUCUGGUGGAAGUGACCUGGCAAGCCGGACCUAGGCUCAGCUCUUUCCAGCACCUUACUAUGCUAGUGUGUCGAAAUGGUCGGGGCACAAAUAAAGCCAUCUUGCACCGUCAGCACCAAACCAGCUCUUCAUCAUGGUUUUACCCUACAAAGAGUAAUAUCCAUUACACUGCAUGCAAAAAUUCUUGAUGCUCCC